CUAACCUGUCAUUCUAGCCUGGGG
rnacentral:piRNA from 1 species